rnacentral:rRNA from 1 species
GACAGAGGUGCCAAGCGUUAGGCGGAAUCACUGGGCUUAAAGCGUGUGUAGGCGGAUCGUUAAGUACCUUGUGAAAUCCCACGGCUCAACCGUGGAACUGCUGGGUAUACUGGCGGUCUUGAGCCACCUAGGGGCAACUGGAACAAGCGGUGGAGCGGUGAAAUGCGCAGAUAUCGCUUGGAACGCCAACGGUGAAAACAGGUUGCUGGGGGUGUGCUGACGCUGAGACACGAAAGCCAGGGGAGCGAACGGG